rnacentral:rRNA from 1 species
UACGAAGGGGGCAAGCGUUGUUCGGAAUUACUGGGCGUAAAGGGCGCGUAGGCGGUUUCUUACGUUCCACGUGAAAGCCCCUGGCUCAACCAGGGAGGGUCUCUCGAAACUGCCAAGCUAGAGUGCGGAAGAGGCAACUGGAAUUCCCAGUGUAGCGGUGAAAUGCGUAGAUAUUGGGAAGAACACCGGAGGCGAAGGCGGGUUGCUGGGCCGACACUGACGCUGAGGCGCGAAAGCCAGGGGAGCAAACGGG